CGUUCCCCCGCUCGGCCAUAAGGAGGUGCUGUAGUACUCCGAGGCCUUGACUGGGGCAGCUGCUCAUCGAACUUUGCAACCUUGAAUGUAGUAGACGCCAGCACUGGGGCCCCUUUGUGUUGAGAAAAGGACUUUGACCUGAGCCGAUGGGGCCUCCAAGAAUAGUAAUGCCCCGCCUCCUACGAAUUCCGAAUCCUGUCCUCUUGGCUGCGGUCUGAAGGGAAGCCCCGCCCACUGCCCGUCUCGGGCUCCUCCUGAUGGGGGAGCAGGCUUGGAGCAGGACCAGGACGAGCCCUGUGCAAGACCUCGCCUCUUCUUAAAUCCGCUCCGCAGUGCGGGACCGCUCCCUCAAAGGUCCGCGUCUGCGCCGCCAGCCCCUUCCCCGCCCGGCGCCUGAGAGGAGAGAUAGGUAGCGCCACAGCAAGUCCAUCUAUGGCAACGGAGACUACCAGCCUUCUGCAGUCUGCGCUGGGCUCACCUGUCUGGGAGUCCGUCGGCCCAGUAGGUCGGCGGCCUCCCUCCUUCCUGGAGUGAACUUCUCCAGCCAGGAUACUUUCACCAGCUGCUGCCCGCUAGGCAGCCCGCUGGCGACUUGAUAAACCCCAUUCCCUCCCACCAGCUCCCGCCUCCCAUUCCAGCCUUUUCUCCUCACUUCCUGCUGCCCCUCUGAGAGGAAAAGGCCAGGAAAGGCGCGGGGGAGGAGAUUGCCUUGACCCUGUUUUCCUCUGGCUUGCUCUCCUGGCUGGCUGCCCUCCCCACCCUUCUCCUGCAGGAUCUGGCCUCACCAGCUGUGCCAGGUGACAGGAAGGCUAUGAGCCUCCAGGAUCAGGAGUCAGUCUCCCCGAGGCCCACAAUUUCCUUAACUCUCCUCACCAACUUUUCCUUGGGGUUUGGGCUCAUUCUCAUAUAGUAGGGUGUGAGGAGGUACAGGCCUCGGUCUUUUGGGAGAGUCAAACUAUCUGGGGGGUGUUCAACUGAUGGCCUCCUACAGCAGGUGCCAAAAAAGGGAACCAAUCCUGGGAGAUGGGGGAGAGAGUUGGGGGAACUUCCGGGAGCUGGGUCAAUUUUUUUCUUUUUUUUUCCACCAAGAGCAGAAGUGUCUCAAGUGUGACAGAGAGGACAAUACUUGAUGUGUGUGACUGUGGGAUAGGGGUGGGGCAGGGCCUGCAGAGUGCUAUCCAGCUGGAGGACAUUCCUGGGGAGAUUUCACUGAGUCCACUACAGAGUGGCUCUUUGCCAAAGUGGAGAGAGAAGCGGGGUGUUUCUUUGGGAGGGGACGUUCAUGUGGCUGGCUUCACCUCUCCAAUGCACAGGGCCCCUCUCCUGGCUGUGUGGGAGUCUGGGGGAGGUGAGUGCAUAAUCUGGAGGCUGGCUGUGAGGACCCAGGAGUCCAGGAUAUGACAAGAGUGGGUGCAGUGUCCCUGUACCACUGUGCUGGCUUCAGAAGGGACAGAGGCCUAGGAAGCUACCAGGGUGGGGACCCCUGGGAAAACAAAGGCCGGACCAGACUGUCCCAGGGCAGGGACACUUCCUCAAGCUGUCAGCAGGAAGGAAGUGAGCACAGCCCAGUGGGAGGGAGUGGGGAAGCACUGCCUGACUCCCAUUGUUUCCAGCUUUGGGGUCAGCUGAGAAGGCUGAGCACAGGGAGUUCCUUCAGGCUGGGAUAAUGAUGGUGGGAGAUAGAAUGCUGUUUGUUAUGGGAGAGUGCUGGCCUUUGAACAGACAGUAGGGUGGAGUGGAGGGUGACAGGGCCUUAGGUUUGGCAUCUUAAGGGGAAUGGGAAGACAGCUCACAGAACUUCAAGUCCAGGCUGCACAGAGUGAUCCUACUCCAGAUGUGACAAAUUCAAGCCUCUGAAAGACUGGUAGGCCAGUUUCCCAAACCUAGAAGCCUGGGUCCUUGAAUUUCCCCCUUCUUAACUGGGAGUUGAACUGAUGGCCUAGCAGAAAACCUGCUUCACAGCAGGCCCUGUAGGCAGAAUGUUCACAGGCAAGCCAGGUGUGGUGGUGUUAUUCAGGAGGCUGUAAUCACAUCCAUUCAGGAGACUGAGGUAGGAAGAUCAUAAAUUCAAGGCCAGCUUAGGCAAUUUAGCAAAAACCUGUUUUUUUUUUUUAAUGGACCAGUAAUAUAGUUUUAUGGUAGUAUGUUUAUAUAAUAUGCAAGAGGCCCUGAGUUCAAUCCCUAGUGUGUAUGUGUGUGGUGGUGGUGGUGGUGGUGGUGGUGGUAGUGGUGGGGAGUCUAUAGCACAGGCAGCAGAGAACAGAAGGAAGUAUUGAAGGUUGGAAAGGAAGUCCAGAGCUCACUCUCCCAGUGGUGGUCUGGGAGAAGAAGCAGAUGAAGUUUAUAUAUGCCUGGCAGUAUACUGUCCAUGCAUGUCUGGGCCUUUUUUUAAGUCCUUGGGGCUCAGGAUAUCAAUUCACUUGAGGUCAGCUAGCAAUAUUGGGACCAGAACUAUCUAGGGUCAUACUCUCACCUUAGGUCAGGUGGGACUAAUUCCUAGUGAAGCAACACUACAACCUCUGAUUCCAGGGAUUUCCACCGCUCUGAACACAAUAAGACAGGUAAGUAGUACCCGCAUCCUGACAGGCCCAGUAUGAAUACACGGCCACCUGCUGGCCACAGCUGGAGUUGCCACAGUUAGAGCUCAGGCUUUUUCUAGGUCCAUGCAGGAAAUGGUAAGCCUGCCAGAGUCCUGGGCCCAGGCCUACCUGUUGAUUCCAGAAAGUAGUCUAGACACUGUCCAGAGGAUGCCAUACUCAUUUGCAGGAUCUACAAAUAAUUUUAUUGAAAUUGAACAAAUAACACAACAGUCUUCAUAUGCUGGGGACCACCCUCCCCAAGCCAUUUUCCAUACUCUAGAAGCACAGAUUUUGCACAAUAAGAAUUAAAAAAAAAAAAAAAGUAAUUUCUAUAUAGAAAUCAGACUCUGUCCCAACAUCAUCAUAGACUAGACUAUUUACAAACCUUCACAUUUUAAGUAUUCCUUUUAUGUAAAACAUAAACCCUUCCUUUUUGUGUCUACCAAGGGGAUCCAGUACUUUCCCUUAAAUGAUACUGAAGGGGUGAGGAUACUGUAGGGGAAGGGUGGUGGGCUCCUUAUAGCUAAUCACACCAGCCCUAGUGUGUUGUUCCUUACCACAGGGUAGUAGACAGUUCGCUCCCAAGUGGUGUGGGGGGCUGAUACAAAGAAUGGGUAGCUUGGGGCAACUCCCCAUAUGCACAGGCAUCCACAGCCCAUCCUGACCCUGGCCUGCACUCUCUCAAAUAGGGGAAGGAUAAACAAUUAAUUGCAGUGGGUAAGGAUCACUCCAGCCCUGGGUGAAGGGAGAAGCCUCUCACAACAGUCCCCAUUUCUAUUAACUGCCAGCAAACUGUCCAUCUGAAAGUGGGAACAAAUGGCAGGUAGGUGGGAAGAAUCAGGCUGGUGCUGCCCCCAGCCUCUGUCCAAUACAGGAGGAAUCGAGGUAGCAAAUGGCUGAAAUGCUCCAACUAGGGGGUACGGAAAGUGAGGGGAAAGGAAGUUCUCUUUUGUGUAAAGCCCCCAUAGCCCAGGGGCUGGAAGAAGGCAGACUUUAUUUGUAAAGUGCUGUAGCUUCUAGCAGGGCUUGGCCCUGGGAAAGCUUGGAAGGAAGCAGGCCAGGCAAGGAACCAGGAACCAGGCAUUCCUGACUGGCAUAUGCCCUGCCAUGUUUCUUGCAGGGGUGGCUGGGGAGGGUGGGCUGGUAAAUCUGCCAUUAGCCUUCACCAGUCACUAACCACCUCCUGUCCACACACAAACCAAUAUACAAUUAACACCGAGGGACUGCCCUGCUCACAGCCAAAGGUUCUGGGCCAGUGGAGUUUAUUCAGGGUUGUGGCCUCGGCCUGGGCUCCUCAAUGGAAACCACACCUCAAGUCUGGGAGUUUCUUGCUGAGGCAGUCGGUGUUUGUGUAUGCCAUCUCCCAGGCUCACACCUCGUAGAGAAUCACAGGGAAAUCCACAUGGAGGCGGGGGGGAUCCAGCUUCACGAAGCCCUGCCAUGGAAACAAAGGCUAUGAGGGUCAACUCAGGGUGUCUACUUCAGGAAGCUUCCUGAUCCUCCUAGCUCCUCCCCCAGUAGACCCCACUUGGGUCUACCUUUACAUACUUGAUGAAGGUUCUAUGACCUCUACCAAUCCCUCACCUGAGGAAUCAGAUUCUUAUGCACCCGCCUCAGUUUGGCCCGCUUCUGCCCAUUCUUGGUGACGAUUGUCUCUUCGUAGAACUCAUGAGCCAGAUCCCCAUCCUCGUCAUAGAACAUGGAGCUGUGUAGAGGAAGAAGAGAACAGGCUGGGCUUGAGCCCCACACCUGGUCAUGGCAAAUGCCACAGAUCACAGGGAAGUGUACCCAACCCCAACUGGGGAGGAACAAUCUUGGUGGGAAGAAGAGAGGACACUACAGCUGGAGAAUCCUUUUGCUUAGGUUUACGGUCUACUAGAAGGAACCGGGGAGCGGAACAUUGGCUAGUGUUACUCUGUUAUACCCUCAAGAAGAGAACCCAUACCACAGCAUACUAUCCAGGCAACCGAAGUUAAUUUCCAUUACUGAUCUGUUGUGUGAGAACAGCCAUUCCAAUAUCAGUCCCUUCAUCCAGGACUUAGAGAGCGGGCAGGGUGGUAGCAUGGGCAUGUUGGUUUCACUCCAGAAGACAACUGGCCUAGUGCCAAAGAUUGUGAGCAGAUGUUUUGAUCUAGGAAGGAACCUAAAAGGAGGAAGACUGCAUCCCUGCUUCAAGUGGCUGGUGCAGUCAAAUUUCCACUGUUGGAUCUCCUGGUAUCUACAGCCAAAUCUCCAUCAUAGGGAGUGCCCAUCCACAUGAGGUCAUGCUGAUGCUAUUGUGUGGAGAACCUGGGGUUUAGGUCAGCACUCCACAUCUGGAGAAUAUAAAGGAGUGAGGAUCCUGCCGUCCACCCUUCGCCCCCUCAUACUCAACACUGGGGCCCUACCCUGCUUUCCCAGUCACUACUCAGAAGUCCAACCUUACUACUAUGGGGGAAAGGGAUGAAGCCUAAUCAGUUAUUCUUCCAUUGGAAGAACUGGGGGGAAGAGGAGGAGGGUAAAAGCCUUCAAUUUGCGAACUAAGUUUGAAGAGAUGCACAAAAGAGGUCAGGAGAUAUCACAAAGGCCCUAUCUUAGCUUUACUGUGGGGCGUGCCUGCCCAGAGACAAGCCUAAGAUCUUGUACCCUUCUCUAGAGAGACCUUUAGAGCAGCCAGGCCUCCAGGAAUCUACUCCCGAUUUUCCCCACCCUUUGCUUGGAUGGGGACCCGAAAGACCGAAGUCGUCCUAACUGGGGUGUAGGGGGUCGGGUGACAGGAGGUCUCGGUGGUGUGGGGUACCCGGCCGCCUGCCUGUCCUCCCAGAAGCAGAGCCCACGCCCUUACCCGCGGCGCGUGAAUACGAAGGGGGGCACCGGGCGGCCUCGAGGCCGCACCAAAGCUUGUUCACUGCCCGCUGCCUCCGAGCCGCCGCCCCCUGUUGUAGAGGUGAAGGGCCAAAGGCCCCGAGCUUUGGAGCCGCUGGCGCCCAUGUCAGGGCCGCCAGCGCAUGGCGGACCCCGCGGCCGCUGCGCUCUCACAGUGCAGUAGGCUCUAUCAUGCCCUGCCCCAGCCUCCGCUUGCAGGUGCUGCCGCUGCCGCCGCCGCCGCCUUCCGCAGGCUCUUCUGUCUCCACGGAAACCUCACUUCCGCUUCCGCACGCUGCCCUCUUUGAUUGGCUGCAGCGCUCGUCGGUCCGUGGGGCAGAGCCAAUGGCUAUCCUCAGAUACUGGGCAUCCCAGCAUGCUCUGCAAGACCUCAGGUCCCGGCAGGCCACGCUCUCGCCAGCUGGGACAGCUCCCUCCCAGUAGAGCUGUGACAGCGCUGUUCUCUUGGCUUCUUCGGCGUACUGGUUGCCAUGUACGGCAUUUCCAACGUCCCAGAUCUCCAGAACUCAAGCCCAGUGGGGCCUCCUCAACUCAACCACUUUGAACCAGCACUUUAGGACCUGACCCAGGCCAGGCUGUGGAGUACUUGUCUGGCUUCUAUUUUCACAAUGGUGUUUUGUGGUGGUUACCAUCAUAUGUAAAGAAAUGGAGCCCAAGGACAAUUAAGGAACUGGCCAAAAUGUCUUAUAGUUACACUGAGGUAUUUAGAACUUCAAUGUUCUUUCCAAAUUCAACCUGAAUGCAUGCUUCACGAAAACAAGAAUUCUAAAUGGCUGUCCCUUCAUGUCUAGUCCAUAGCAGCUGAUGAAUAAAAACAACUUCUCUCA